rnacentral:lncRNA from 1 species
GAGAGAGAGAGAGGAGAGAGAGACAGAGAGACAGAGAGAGAUUUUGGGGGUCAAGAAGGUUGGUGAAGUUGUCCCCUGUGGGUCUGGCCACUUUUCAUGUAGAACCAGACACAGGGGUCAGCUCGUGUCUAAGACAAGCAAGGACCGGGAGCAUAACAGAAGGAAGGAAUUUAAUAACGGACAGCGGUGGGACCCAGGAACCUCCGCCUGAGCCCUCUGGCAAGCCUGCACCAGGGAUGGAGCACUGCGCACAGGCAUAAUCCAGGAGACCUCAUGGAAGCACAAAUUCACUGGCUUUUGUGGAAAUCAUAGGCAUGCAAGAGCUGGGAGACAGCACCCAAUGUAGUACUAUCUGUAAUCCCAGCACUCAUGAAUCUGAAGCAGGAAGAUCACUACAAAUUCGAGC